rnacentral:lncRNA from 1 species
AGUUAAAGGCAGUGGCUGGGCAGGCAAAGUGAAGUGCAAAAUACAGCAAAAAUAGAGUCUUUGCCGCCGCGCCGGCGAGCGCCGCCCGGGAGGCAGCGGCUGGAGGAGCGGACGGGCCCCGCGGGGCCCGAGGGCAAGGAGCAGCCGCCUGCCUUGGCCUCCCAAAGUGCCGAGAUUGCAGCCUCUGCCCGGCUGCCACCCCGUCUGGGAAGUGAGGAGUGUUUCUGCCUGGCCGCCCAUCGUC